rnacentral:rRNA from 1 species
GUCGAACGCUGGCGGCGUGCUUAACACAUGCAAGUCGAACGGCAGCGCCCUGCUUUUGUUGGGUGCUCGAGUGGCGAACGUGUGAGUUACACGUGAGUAACCUGCCCUUUACUUUGGGAUAACUUCAGGAACCUGUUGCUACUACCUGAUAGGAGCUCCUGCUGCAUGGUGGGUGUUGGAAAUUUUCGUCUGUUGGGGAUGGACUCGCGGCUUAUCAGCUUGUUGGUGGGGUAGUGGCUUACCCAGGCUUUGACGGGUAGCCGGCCUGAGAGGGUGACCGGCCACAUUGGGACUGAGGUAAGGCACAGACUCCUACGGGAGGAAGAAGGGGGGAAUAGUGCACAAUGGGUGGAAGCCUGAUGCAGCAACGCCGCGGGCGGGAUGACGGCCUUCGGGUUGUAAAACGCUUUCGCGUGAGAAGAAGGGGGAGAGACGGGAACGGGUAAAAAAGCAACGGCUAACUAAGGGC